rnacentral:rRNA from 1 species
UACGGGGGAGCAAGCGUUGUUCGGAAUCACUGGGCGUAAAGGGAGUCUAGGCGGUUUGGUAAGUGGGAUGUGAAAUCCCCGGGCUCACCCCGGGACCUGCAUCCCAAACUGCUGAGCUUGAGUACAGGAGAGGGUGGGGGAAUUCCAGGUGUAGCGGUGAAAUGCGUAGAUAUCUGGAGGAACACCGGUGGCGAAGGCGCCCACCUGGCCUGCUACUGACGCUGAAGCUCGAAAGCUAGGGGAGCAAACGGG